rfam:Schistosoma mansoni strain Puerto Rico chromosome W, complete genome
ACCCAGCUGACGAGUUCCGAAGGGGACGAAAUGCGCGUCCUGGAU